AACCUAGCAUAUGAAAAUAGCCAAUAACUGUGAGCUUGCUAUCUUUAUCAGUGACAUGAACGUGCCUGGGGAGCAGAGGAUAAGUAGAAUUCAGAGACCCACACAGAGAUUUGAGGAGCAACAGCAGAUGUAGAAGGCAGAGAUAAAAGAACAAGAUGACACAGGAAGGAAGGAAACUGGCGAAUGCUGAUCUCAUGCCAUGUGCCAAGAAAGGUGCUAGAUGUUUAUGCCAUUAUUUUAUUUGUCCAGCAACAAAUAUAUGAGAGCAAAACCACAUCCUUAUUUUACGGGACACAGCAAGAAGGCAGCAGCCAUCUGCAAGCCAGGAAGAAUGUCUUUACCAAGAACCCAAUCUGCUGGCAUCUUGAUCUUUGACUUCCCACCC